UGGCUCAGAUUGAACGCUGGCGGCAGGCCUAACACAUGCAAGUCGAACGGUAACAGGAAGCAGCUUGCUGUUUCGCUGACGAGUGGCGGACGGGUGAGUAAUGUCUGGGAAACUGCCUGAUGGAGGGGGAUAACUACUGGAAACGGUAGCUAAUACCGCAUAACGUCGCAAGACCAAAGAGGGGGACCUUCGGGCCUCUUGCCAUCGGAUGUGCCCAGAUGGGAUUAGCUAGUAGGUGGGGUAACGGCUCACCUAGGCGACGAUCCCUAGCUGGUCUGAGAGGAUGACCAGCCACACUGGAACUGAGACACGGUCCAGACUCCUACGGGAGGCAGCAGUGGGGAAUAUUGCACAAUGGGCGCAAGCCUGAUGCAGCCAUGCCGCGUGUAUGAAGAAGGCCUUCGGGUUGUAAAGUACUUUCAGCGGGGAGGAAGGGAGUAAAGUUAAUACCUUUGCUCAUUGACGUUACCCGCAGAAGAAGCACCGGCUAACUCCGUGCCAGCAGCCGCGGUAAUACGGAGGGUGCAAGCGUUAAUCGGAAUUACUGGGCGUAAAGCGCACGCAGGCGGUUUGUUAAGUCAGAUGUGAAAUCCCCGGGCUCAACCUGGGAACUGCAUCUGAUACUGGCAAGCUUGAGUCUCGUAGAGGGGGGUAGAAUUCCAGGUGUAGCGGUGAAAUGCGUAGAGAUCUGGAGGAAUACCGGUGGCGAAGGCGGCCCCCUGGACGAAGACUGACGCUCAGGUGCGAAAGCGUGGGGAGCAAACAGGAUU
rnacentral:rRNA from 1 species